CAGGCCAGCAAAUUCUUCCAAGUUCCUAUAUAUACACGAAACAUUAAGCAAAUUUCAAGUUUCUCGGUCUAUUCACUUCCUUGUUACAAUUUUUUUUCUCAUUUUUGGUGUUAUAUAAUCAAACAUUUUGAACUGCCCGCAUGGCUAGCUUCCUUGCAGCCCCUGCUUGUCCCUUGGCCACCCUCCCCUCCACCCCUAGAGUCAGUGUCCCUGCUGGCCAGCAAAAGAGCUUCUCCUUCAAUGGUGGUCCUUUGUUUUUUGG
rnacentral:misc_RNA from 1 species